rnacentral:rRNA from 1 species
AACCUUUAGCUAAACAAAUAUUAAAGGCAACGCCUGCCCAGUGAACAAUUCAACGGCCGCGGUACCCUAACCGUGCAAAGGUAGCAUAAUCAUUUGUCUAUUAAUUAUAGACCAGUAUGAACGGCAAAAUGAGGGUCUGACUGUCUCUUAUAGUAAAUCAAUUAAACUGAUCUUUUAGUAAAAAAGCUAAAAUUACAACAUAAGACCAGAAGACCCUGUGAAGCUUAAACUAAACUAUUAAACCACAUAAUAGCUACUUUCGGUUGGGGCGACCUUGGAAAAAAAAAGAACUUCCAACAAACAUUAAUUAGGCCAACAAGCCAACAAACUAGACCCAGCAAAGCUGAUAAUUGAACCAAGUUACUCCAGGGAUAACAGCGCAAUCUUCUUCAAGAGUCCAUAUCAAAAAGAAGGUUUACGACCUCGAUGUUGGAUCAGGACAUCCUAAUGGUGCAGAAGCUAUUAAGGGUUCGUUUGUUCAACGAUUAAUAGUCCC